GUGAAUGUAGCUCAGUUGGCAGAGCACCAGGUUGUGGCCCUGGGGGCCGAGGGUUCAAGCCCCUUCAUUCACC
rfam:Desulfovibrio mexicanus strain DSM 13116 genome assembly, contig: Ga0070557_102